rnacentral:rRNA from 1 species
ACCUGCCCAUUGGAAUCUAAAAGGCCGCGGUAUUAUGACCGUGCUAAGGUAGCAUAAUCAUUAGUCUUUUAAUUGGAGGCUGGUAUGAAUGGUUGGACAAGAAAUAAGCUGUCUUAAAUAAAAAUAUUGAAUUUAACUUUUAAGUGAAAAGGCUUAAAUUUUCUAAGGGGACGAUAAGACCCUAUAAAACUUUAUAUUUUAAAAUAAUAAUUAAUUUUUAUAUAGAAGAUUUAUUUUUAAAUAUUUUAUUGGGGUGAUAAAGAUAAAAUGUGAGAUAACUGUCUUUUUUUUUUUACAAUUAAUAUUUGAGUAAAAGAUCUUAACAAAGGAAAUAAGAGAUUAAGUUACUUUAGGGAUAACAGCGUAUUUUCUUUAAGAGUUCUAUCGACAAGAAAGUUUGCGACCUCGAUGUUGAAUUAAAAGUUCUUUAUAGAGUAGAUAUUAUAAUAGAGGGUCUGUUCGACCCUUAAAAUUUUACGUG